ACCAAUUCUAGGCCUUUUGGCUGAGAUCAAGUGUAUUAUCUGUUUUUACCAGCUUAAUAUCUAUGUCCUUUACCUGAGGCAUUGAUUUUUGGAACAAAGAGAUGGAAUAGGAGCUUGCUCUGUCAGCUCCUUGCAUCAACCUGGCAUUGCAGUACUUCUAGGAACGGUGUACCGCUU
ensembl:snRNA U2 U2 spliceosomal RNA